AUUGAACGCUGGCGGCAGGCCUAACACAUGCCAGUCGAGCGAGCGGCGGACGGGUGAGUAAUGUCUGGGAAACUGCCUGAUGGAGGGGGAUAACUACUGGAAAAGGUAGCUAAUACCGCAUACCAUCAGAUGUGCCCAGAUGGGGUUAGCGAGUAGGUGGGGUAACGGGUCACAUAGGCGACGACCCCUAGCUGGUCUGAGAGGAAGACCAGCCACACGGGAACUGAGACACGGGCCAGACUCCUACGGGAGGCAGCAGUGGGGAAUAUUGCACAAUGGGCGCAAGCCUGAUGCAGCCAUGCCGCGUGGGUGAAGAAGGCCUUCGGGUUGUAAAGCACUUUCAGCGGGGAGGCGUUACCCGCAGAAGAAGCACCGGCUAACUCCGUGCCAGCCGCCGCGGUAAUAC
rnacentral:rRNA from 1 species